rnacentral:rRNA from 1 species
UACGUAGGGUGCGAGCGUUGUCCGGAAUUAUUGGGCGUAAAGAGCUCGUAGGCGGUUUGUCGCGUCGUCUGUGAAAUUCUGCAACUCAAUUGUAGGCGUGCAGGCGAUACGGGCAGACUUGAGUACUACAGGGGAGACUGGAAUUCCUGGUGUAGCGGUGAAAUGCGCAGAUAUCAGGAGGAACACCGGGUGGCGAAGGCGGGUCUCUGGGCCGAUACUGACGCUGAGGAGCGAAAGCGUGGGGAGCGAACAGG